UACGUAGGGAGCAAGCGUUGUCCGGAAUCAUUGGGCGUAAAGCGCGCGUAGGCGGCCUCAUAAGUCCGUUGUGAAAGUCAAAGGCUCAACCUUUGAAAGCCGAUGGAUACUGUGAGGCUAGAGUCCGGAAGAAGCGAGUGGAAUUCCUGGUGUAGCGGUGGAAUGCGCAGAUAUCAGGAGGAACACCAAUAGCGAAGGCAGCUCGCUGGGGACGGUACUGACGCUAAGGCGCGAAAGCGUGGGGAGCGAACAGG
rnacentral:rRNA from 1 species